UACGGGGGGAGCAAGCGUUGUUCGGAUUUACUGGGCGUAAAGGGCGCGUAGGCGGCCAGUGCAAGUCAGUUGUGAAAUCUCCGAGCUUAACUCGGAAAGGUCAACUGAUACUGCUCGGCUAGAGUGCGGAAGGGGCAACUGGAAUUCUUGGUGUAGCGGUGAAAUGCGUAGAUAUCAAGAGGAACACCUGAGGUGAAGACGGGUUGCUGGGCUGACACUGACGCUGAAGCGCGAAAGCCAGGGGAGCAAACGGG
rnacentral:rRNA from 1 species